rnacentral:rRNA from 1 species
UACGUAGGGGGCUAGCGUUGUCCGGAAUCAUUGGGCGUAAAGCGCGUGUAGGCGGUCCGGUAAGUCCGCUGUGAAAGUCGGGGGCUCAACCCUCGAAUGCCGGUGGAUACUGUCGGGCUAGAGUACGGGAGAGGAAAGUGGAAUUCCUGGUGUAGCGGUGAAAUGCGUAGAUAUCAGGAGGAACACCGAUGGCGAAGGCAGCCCCCUGGGUCAAGAUUGACGCUCAUGCACGAAAGCGUGGGGAGCAAACAGG